rnacentral:rRNA from 1 species
UACGAAGGGGGCUAGCGUUGCUCGGAAUUACUGGGCGUAAAGGGCGCGUAGGCGGAUAUCUAAGUCGGGGUGAAAGCCCAGGGCUCAACCCUGGAAUUGCCUUCGAUACUGGAUAUCUUGAGUACGGGAGAGGUGAGUGGAACUCCGAGUGUAGAGGUGAAAUUCGUAGAUAUUCGGAAGAACACCAGUGGCGAAGGCGGGUCUCUGGACAGUUCCUGACGCUGAGGCACGAAGGCCAGGGGAGCAAACGGG